GUGCACGCUGGCGGUAGGCCUAACCCAUGCAAGUCGAACGGCAGCACAGUAAGAGCUUGCUCUUACGGGUGGCGAGUGGCGGACGGGUGAGGAAUACAUCGGAAUCUACUUUUUCGUGGGGGAUAACGUAGGGAAACUUACGCUAAUACCGCAUACGACCUACGGGUGAAAGCAGGGGAUCUUCGGACCUUGCGCGAUUGAAUGAGCCGAUGUCGGAUUAGCUAGUUGGCGGGGUAAAGGCCCACCAAGGCGACGAUCCGUAGCUGGUCUGAGAGGAUGAUCAGCCACACUGGAACUGAGACACGGUCCAGACUCCUACGGGAAGCAGCAGUGGGGAAUAUUGGACAAUGGGCGCAAGCCUGAUCCAGCCAUACCGCGUGGGUGAAGAAGGCCUUCGGGUUGUAAAGCCCUUUUGUUGGGAAAGAAAAGCAGCAGGUUAAUACCCCGCUGUUCUGACGGUACCCAAAGAAUAAGCACCGGCUAACUUCGUG
rnacentral:rRNA from 1 species